AAUUGUCUGUCUGUGAACGAGAAGGAAAAAAAUACGUAUAGUUGUACACUGGACAAAUCUCCUGCAGAGCAACAAGAUUUCCUAGUGGAAAAAUGAUUAAUAAUUCAAAAAUUCCCUUAAUCUUCAGAUUUGUACAUUUUAAUUAAAUUGGAAAUUGCUGACAUGUAAUUAUGUUCUGAGAACAAUUAAAUGAUUCCGGUCCACAAAUUACCUGUUAAAGUAAACAAUGAACUUGUCAUAACUGGCAUUAUCCAUUAGUACCAGGAUGGAUAACACUAUCUAUGUUGUUUCAUUACAUAGAUAUUAAGAUUGAAUAUUUGUGGGAGGAGUGGGAAAAUGACCUAAUUUCUCUAUAUUAAAAGUGUGCAUUAUUUAAUAACUCUCAUUUUUAUACAUAAUUGCAUCAUCUGCUGGGAUUCUAUGCCCUUCCUGAUAUAAUAUCAUGUAAAGUCAUCUACCCCAUUAAAAGAUAGAUGGCCUUUCCUCAGAAUUUUACUAGAAACAGAUACAAACAUAUUAUGAAUGGUUGAAUUCAUUUUUAUUUCCUUCUUAACUAUAUCCCAACUACAAAAACUAUAUGCAAACAAUCCAUUGGAAAUGGAUAUCAUUUUCUGGGUCUUUAAGACAGAGUGAAAUAAAAAAAAUUAAAGUUAUUUAAGUAUUAAUAGUAAAGACAUUGAAAAGCCUGUCUUGUCGUUUUUACUGCUUUCAAACUGACAUGGAUGUCUGCCAACAAGAACUGAAUUCUCCUUGUAUCUUGGAACAGAGUCUUUUGGGAGAAAUAGACUAGAUCUUUCAUAGAUUCCCCUAUACUGUACAUUCACACACGAUACUUCUUCGUGCAGCUGACUCAGUGACAAUGUUUCUCCUGUUUUCUGCAUUCCUUCAUAUCACACAAUUAUGUGCUGGAGCAGCUCUGGGUUAGUACAAGACCAUCCAGCACACAAGUAUCAGACAUGCGAAGCAUGCAAUCCAUGAAACCAGAGGGCCAAGCGGCUGUAGGACUGGCGAGCGAGAGAGAUUUGUCCUGACAAUCAGCAGGCUACGCCACAGGAAAACUUUAACUACACUUAUGGGCUUCAAAGUGACAGUACUCUCAGCUCUGUUACUUCAAAGAACGUGCUGUCUCACAUCAGUGGUGUGUUCUCUUCAUGCUGUGCUUCUUUCCCCCCUUGACAAGGUGAUAAUACCACUGAUCAGCAACCCCCUCCAAGUCCAGUAUUUCCAGUCACCCUCACCUAGAGUAACAAUAAGGACACUAUUAUUACUUUUUGAGAUGGAAAAUACUAUCUGUGCAGCUGACCGAAAAGAAGUUCAUUCACUGAACCUGGAGAUCCCCGAUUCAGCUAGAUUUAAGUGGCCAGCAGUCACCAUCAACUGCCUCGUGUCUGUCUGAAGAGCACUGGGAUUACAGGUUGAUCUGUAAAACUGAGUAUUUUUAAAAUUUAAUUUCAGGAAACCUUUUUGCUGCAUUAAUGCACUUUCUUCUAUAAGGAUAUAUUAAAACUGACUGCAGUAGGAACUGGGGGAGAACACAGACAUUUAAAACAAAAUGAAGCAAGACAAAAAUCAGGAAAACCUGUCAUCAGAAAGGUGUCCCUACCUUUUCCCUUCUUCUCAAUGAGGACUACACAGGACACCUGUUGAGAAGUCUGCGAAACUUAACUUACUUUUUUGUUUUGUUUUGUUUUCUUGAGGUGGGGGCUCAUGUAUCUCAAGCUGUCCUCAAACUUUAUGUUACCAAGAAUGACACAGAACUUCUGACUGAUCUCCAACUUCACCUCCCUACAGCUGGUAUUAAAAGUAUGGGCUUGUCCCUAGUAAACCAAAAUUAACAGUUAUUCUUCAGAAUUUGUAAAAAUUGAUAUAUUAAUAUUAUGUUUUACAUCACCACACAAAAUAAUACACAUAGAAAUAUCUGCAAUGGAAAUGAUGUUAUGUUUAUACAGUAGUCUACCUUACCUACUAAAAAUCUGUGUUCCUAU